AUGGCCGCACCCAUGGCAUAUGGAAGUUCCUGGACUAGGGACUGAAUCUGAGCCGCAGGUGCGGCAGAGCCAGAUCCUUUAACCCACUGUGCUGGGCCGGGGAUAGAAACCGAGCCUCUACAGUCAGAUUCUUAACCAACUGCACCACAGUAGGAACCCCAACAUUCGACAUUUGAUGGUGCAGAUACCUCCUUCUUCCUUCAGUGUAAAUAUUCUAAUACAAAUAUUUUUAUUAAUUGCCCCCCGCCAAAAAACAACAAAAAACCAAAAAGCACAAUAAAAAAAUUGGACCUUACCAAACCACCUGUAGGGCUUGCUUGCCCCUCUGGUACACUCUUCCACCCUGUGUCUUGCCUUGGUAAUGCCUGAUGGGUCACCCGAUAGGCUUCAACCUAGACAUCACACAUUUCUUCAGGAACCUUCCCUUCCACUAUGCUCCUGUCACCAGGGGUGUAGUACUAGGGGAAUCACACCUGAUAGCAAUUGCUCAUUUAUUUAGUACCCUCCAGCAUAUACAUUAAAUACAUCUGUAAGUACUUGCUGACUAUUCCACUAGGUAAUAGGCACCACCCAACCUGGGAAAGAUGAUUGGUGCCUUCCCCGUAGAGCCUAGUCCAAGCUUUUGUUUUGUUUGUCCUUUUAUAGCCACACCUAUGGCAUAUGGAAGUUCCCAGGUGCAGCCCUAAAAGGACAAAAGACCAAAAAUAAAUAAAUCAACUGCAGCUUGUGUUAAGCUUAAUCCACUGAGCAAGGCCAAGGGUUGAAUCUACAUCUUCACGGACACUUUGUGGGGUUCUUAACCCACUGAGCCACAAGAGGAACUCCUUGUUUUGUUUUUAAAUGGCUUUAUUGAGAUUUAGUCCAUGGACUAUGCAAUUCACCCAUUUAAGAUGUAAAAUUUGGGAGUUCCUGGGUGGCACAGUGGGUUAAGGAUUUUGCGAUGUCAUUGCUAUGGCUUGUAUUACCGCUGUGGCGCAGGUAAGAUCCCUGGCCCAGGAACUUCUGCAUACUGCAUGUAUAUGGCCAAAAAUAAAUAAAUAAAAUGUACAAUUUAGUGGCUUUUAGUAUAUUUACAAAGUUCAUCACCACAAUCAGUUUUAAAGUUUUCAUCAACCCCAAAAGAAACUUCGCACUCCUUAGGUAUCAUCGCUGGGGCCUCUGCAUCCCCUUCCCUUCCCCAUCACCCAGCCCCUGAGGUAACCACCAAUCUAGUGUAACCACAGAUCCUAUAGAUUUGCCUAUUCUGGAUAUUUCUUAUGUGAAUCAGGUUAGGUCUUCCCCAUCUUACCCAGUUCUGAGAUUCUUCUAAGAACUUCCCUGGAGAUUCAAAUUCAGAGAUCAGAGAAUCUGGUGGGGUUCCCCCCCCCCCCCCCCCGCUUUUUAGGGCCGCACCUGCAGCAUAUGGAAGUUCCCAGGCUAGGGGUUUGAAUCGGCGCCACAGCUGCUGGACCACAGCACAACCACAGCCACGUGAGAUCCGAGCCAUGUCUUCCACCUACACCACAGCUCACAGCAACUCCGAAUCCCCAACCCACUGAGUGAGGCCAGGGAUUGAACCUGCACCCUCAUGGAUCCUAGUCGGGUUCGUUAACCAAUGAGCUACAAAGGGAACUCUGGAAUCUGUAUUUUUAACAUGGGGUCUUCUCUAAAGAGUCAAUUCUCUAUUUAAUCAGACUGCAUCUGCCUUUACUGUCUCCAGCAACCAAGGCCAAAUGUAUAGUAGUUGUCAACAAAUAGCUUUUGAUGACUACCUCUAAAACUUAACACAAUCAAGCAUUUUGAGUAUGGCGAGUCCCCUUGUGGCUUGGCAGGUUGGGGACAAUAUAGGCAGGGAGGAGUGAGAUCAGACUAGUAGAGGAGGCAAAUUGAAUCCACAGAGGCCAAAGGUGGCAAUUAGAAAGGGGCUUGUGGAGUGGCUGAAGAGUUUGGGAUUUAUUACCUCUAGGGUACUGGAGAGUCAUCCAUGGGCUUGAAGCAGGGGAAUUAUGAGAUCACAUCUGGGCUGUGCAGUUGUGUAGGGGGAGGAGGCAGGAAGCAGUGAAGAGUCUAAAGAUGUGGUCAGAAGUGAUAGUGCCUGAGCCAGGUUGGAGGCAGUGGGGAUAGAGAGAUUAGAGUGAAGAGAUAUCCCAAAGGCAGAAUGGACAAUUUAGAGAUUGAUGGGAUGUGGGAGAUGAGAGAAUGAAG
ensembl:lncRNA